AUACGGAGGAUCCGAGCGUUAUCCGGAUUUAUUGGGUUUAAAGGGUGCGCAGGCGGCCAUUUAAGUCAGCGGUUAAAUCGUGGGGCUCAACCCCAUUCUGCCGUUGAUACUGGGUGGCUUGAUUGCGGUCGAGGUUGGCGGAAUUCGUUGUGUAGCGGUGAAAUGCAUAGAUAUGACGAAGAACACCGAUUGCGUAGGCAGCUGACCAGACCGCAAAUGACGCUCAUGCACGAAAGUGCGGGGAUCGAACAGGAUUAGAUACCCUGGUAGUCCGCACAGUAAACGAUGAAUACUUGUUUUCGGCGAUAUAAUGUCGGAGGCAAGGCGAAAGCGAUAAGUAUUCCACCUGGGGAGUACGCCGGCAACGGUGAAACUCAAAUGAAUUGGCGGGG
rnacentral:rRNA from 1 species